rnacentral:rRNA from 1 species
GACGAACGCUGGCGGCGUGCUUAACACAUGCAAGUCGAACGGAAAGGCCUUUUCGGAGGUACUCGAGUGGCGAACGGGUGAGUAACACGUGGGUGAUCUGCCCUGCACUCUGGGAUAAGCCUGGGAAACUGGGUCUAAUACCGGAUAGGACCGCACUUUAGUGUGUGUGGUGGAAAGUUUUUUCGGUGUAGGAUGAGCCCGCGGCCUAUCAGCUUGUUGGUGGGGUAAUGGCCUACCAAGGCGGCGACGGGUAGCCGGACUGAGAGGUUGGUCGGCCACAUUGGGACUGAGAUACGGCCCAGACUCCUACGGGAGGCAGCAGUGGGGAAUAUUGCACAAUGGGCGCAAGCCUGAUGCAGCGACGCCGCGUGGGGGAUGACGGCCUUCGGGUUGUAAACUCCUUUCGCCAGGGACGAAGCGUUUUGUGGCGGUACCUGGAGAAGAAGCACCGGCUAACUACGUG